rnacentral:rRNA from 1 species
CGCGCCUACGGGACGCAGCAGUGGGGAAUAUUGCACAAUGGGGGAAACCCUGAUGCAGCGACGCCGCGUGAGUGAAGAAGUAUUUCGGUAUGUAAAGCUCUAUCAGCAGGGAAGAAAAUGACGGUACCUGACUAAGAAGCCCCGGCUAACUACGUGCCAGCAGCCGCGGUAAUAUGUAGGGGGCAAGCGUUAUCCGGAUUUACUGGGUGUAAAGGGAGCGUAGACGGCAGCGCAAGUCUGAAGUGAAAUCCCAUGACUUAACCAUGGAACUGCUUUGGAAACUGUGCAGCUGGAGUGCAGGAGUG